rnacentral:rRNA from 1 species
GUACACGCUGUGACUAGCAUAUCAAUAAGCGGAGGAAAAGAAACUAACAAGGAUUCCCCUAGUAACGGCGAGUGAAGCGGGAAGAGCUCAAAUUUGAAAUCUUAAAGGGUUUCCCUUUACGAAUUGUAGUUUAAAGAAGUGUUUUCUGUUGAGGUUUUGGUAAAAGUUCUUUGGAAUAGGACAUCAUAGAGGGUGAGAAUCCCGUAUUUGACCUUUACUUUCAACUUUGUGAUACACUUUCAAAGAGUCGGAUUGUUUGGGAAUGCAGUCCAAAAUGGGUGGUAAAUUUCAUCUAAAGCUAAAUAUUGGCGAAGAGACCGAUAGCGAACAAGUACCGUGAGGGAAAGAUGAAAAGAACUUUGAAAAGAGAGUUAAACAGUACGUGAAAUUGUCAAAAGGGAAGCGUUUGACACCAGUGUUGUUUUUCUGAAAAUCAAUUAAAGAACUGUUUAUGCUAAGCUGUUUAGACUUUAUCAGCUAAUCUGUUUAGUUUUGAGCUUUUCUUUAAUGCACUUUUCAGUUAACAAGUCAACAUCAAUUUCUUUUGCUGUAAAAAAGCUUGAGGAAGGUGGCUUGAGAUUCGUCUUAAGUGUUUAUAGCCUCUUGCCUAUGCAGUCGGAGAGAUUGAGGUCUGCAGCGUAGAUCCUUCGGGGCUAAAUGCAUUUGUGCUAAGUUAUAGCAUUUUAUAGACAACUUGUUGACUAUGAUUUGCCUUGUAGCUUACUCGCUUAUGUUAUUUUACCUACGCUUAGGGAUGUUGACGAGACUGUCGAUCUCAUCUAUACAUGACCCUGUGCAUAUCAAUAAGCGGAGGAAAAGGUACCUACGCUUAGGAUGUUGACACACGCGCGUGCUUGAUCUAUACAUGACUCUGCGCAUAUCAAUAAGCGGAGGAAAAGGCUGCGGAACUGAACGACCGCUACCUACGCUUAGGAUGUUGACGAGACUGUCGAUCUCAUCUAUACAUGACUCUGCGCAUAUCAAUAAGCGGAGGAAAAGUACUACCUACGCUUAGGAUGUUGACGAGACUGUCGAUCUC